UACGUAGGGUGCGAGCGUUAAUCGGAAUUACUGGGCGUAAAGCGUGCGCAGGCGGUUUUGUAAGACAGAUGUGAAAUCCCCGGGCUUAACCUGGGAACUGCAUUUGUGACUGCAAGACUAGAGUGCGGCAGAGGGGGGUAGAAUUCCACGUGUAGCAGUGAAAUGCGUAGAUAUGUGGAGGAAUACCGAUGGCGAAGGCAGCCCCCUGGGUCGACACUGACGCUCAUGCACGAAAGCGUGGGGAGCAAACAGG
rnacentral:rRNA from 1 species